GGUUCAGGAUGAACGCUGGCGGCGUGCCUAAUACAUGCAAGUCGAACGAGGUAGCAAUACCGAGUGGCGAACGGGUGAGUAACACGUAGGUAACCUGCCCUUAAGCUUGGGAUACCCAGAGGAAACUUUGGCUAAUACCGGGAUAACAACAGAGAAGGCAUCUUCUUUGCUUGAAAGGCCCCUUCAAGGGUCACUUUAAGGAUGGACCUGCGGCGCAUUUAGCUAGUUGGUGAGAUAACAGCCCACCAAGGCGAGGAUGCGUAGCCGGACUGAGAGGUUGAUCGGCCACAUUUGGAACUGAGACACGGUCCAAACUCCUACGGGAGGCAGCAGUAAGGAGUUUUCGGCAAUGGGGGAAACCCUGACCGAGCAACGCCGCGUGAGCGAUGACGGUCCUUUGGAAUUGUAAAGCUCUGUUGUAAGCCAUGAAUGACAGCUUGAGGAAAUGCAAGUUGUUUGACGACAGCUUACCAGAAAGCCCACGGCUAACUACGUGCCAGCCGCCGC
rnacentral:rRNA from 1 species